rnacentral:rRNA from 1 species
AAUUUUGGACGAUGGGGGCAACCCUGAUCCAGCCAUCCCGCGUGUGCGCUGAAGGCCUUCGGUUUGUAAAGCACUUUUGGUAGGGAAGAAACGGCGCGGGCUAAUAAGCCGCGCAAUUCACGGUACCUGCAGAAUAAGCACCGCCUAACUCCGUGCCAGCAGCCGCGGUAAUACGUAGGGUGCAAGCGUUAAUCGGAAUUACUGGGCGUAAAGCGUGCGCAGGCGGUUUGGAAAGAAAGAUGUGAAAUCCCAGAGCUUAACUUUGGAACUGCAUUUUUAACUGCCAAGCUAGAGUAUGUCAGAGGGGGGUAGAAUUCCACGUGUAGCAGUGAAAUGCGUAGAGAUGUGGAGGAAUACCGAUGGCGAAGGCAGCCCCCUGGGAUAAUACUGACGCUCAUGCACGAAAGCGUGGGGAGCAAACAGG